rnacentral:rRNA from 1 species
UACGUAGGGGGCAAGCGUUAUCCAGAUUUACUGGGCGUAAAGCGCGUGUAGGCGGCUGGUUAGGCGUGAUGUGAAAUCUUCCGGCUCAACCGGAAAACUGCAUUGCGAACCGGCCUGGCUAGAGUGCAGGAGAGGGAAGCGGAAUUCCAGGUGUAGCGGUGAAAUGCGUAGAUAUCGGGAGGAACACCAGUGGCGAAGGCGGCUAUCUGGACGGUUUCUGACACUAAGACUCGAAAGCGUGGGGAGCAAACAGG